rnacentral:rRNA from 1 species
GCUACCAUGCAGUCGAGCGGAGUUGUGGUGCUUGCACCAUAACUUAGCGGCGGACGGGUGAGUAAUGCUUAGGAAUCUGCCUAUUAGUGGGGGACAACAUCUCGAAAGGGAUGCUAAUACCGCAUACGCCCUACGGGGGAAAGCAGGGGAUCUUCGGACCUUGCGCUAAUAGAUGAGCCUAAGUCGGAUUAGCUAGUUGGUGGGGUAAAGGCCUACCAAGGCGACGAUCUGUAGCGGGUCUGAGAGGAUGAUCCGCCACACUGGGACUGAGACACGGCCCAGACUCCUACGGGAGGCAGCAGUGGGGAAUAUUGGACAAUGGGGGGAACCCUGAUCCAGCCAUGCCGCGUGUGUGAAGAAGGCCUUUUGGUUGUAAAGCACUUUAAGCGAGGAGGAGGCUACUCUAGUUAAUACCUAGGGAUAGUGGACGUUACUCGCAGAAUAAGCACCGGCUAACUCUGUGCCAGCAGCCGCGGUAAUACAGAGGGUGCGAGCGUUAAUCGGAUUUACUGGGCGUAAAGCGUGCGUAGGCGGCUUUUUAAGUCGGAUGUGAAAUCCCUGAGCUUAACUUAGGAAUUGCAUUCGAUACUGGGAAGCUAGAGUAUGGGAGAGGAUGGUAGAAUUCCAGGUGUAGCGGUGAAAUGCGUAGAGAUCUGGAGGAAUACCGAUGGCGAAGGCAGCCAUCUGGCCUAAUACUGACGCUGAGGUACGAAAGCAUGGGGAGCAAACAGGAUUAGAUAC